AUUCAUUCAUAACAUGACCUACAAUGUCAAC
rnacentral:sRNA from 1 species